AAUCACACACGCACACGCGCGCGCGCAGCACUCACCGACCACUCUGCGGGGACGCAGGGAGCCGCAGGCCGAAGGAGGGCGGCCGCAGUCAAGCCCGCCCCUCCGCCCCCGCGCGGCCUGUCACGGCGGCCCGGGGUCCCGGAGCCUGCCCGGGGGCCGGAGGGGCGUGCGAGAGCCGGGCGCGGGCCGGGGGCCAGGCCCGUCCCUCCCUCACAUGGAGCCCGUGCCGCCCCUCGGUGCUUCUCGCCACAGCUGCCCGGAGGCCUGCGGGGAGCCGGGCAGGAAAGGAGGAAGCCCAGGGCCGGCGCCGCCAGGGGCAGGAGAAGAGGCGGGAGCAGCGACUCCGCGGCCGGGGACGCGGGAUGUCCGGGUCGUCGUCCUCGUCUUCUCCGCCGCUGGCCGCCCGACCCUCGAACGCCGAACCCCGCGGUCGCACCGCCCUCGUCAAGCUCCGCAGCCGAGGGUAGCCCGGCCGCCACUACACACGGACCCGUGACGUCUGGCGUAGCGCGGCGCACGUCAAGGCCGCUUGCUCGUGAACGCGCGGCCCUUCUCUCACUGGGAACGGAACCCGCCCCGGCCGCGCGCCCGGCUAGACAGAGCGUGUCGGCGCCUGCGCAGUGGCCCGCUCUGACCAAGCAAGGCCGGGCCCCGCCCACCGGGUAGUUUGGGAGUUCUCCGGCCGGGCCUGGCCUCAGCGUCGGCCCCGCCCCUGGCUUCGGGCGCCCUGCGCUUUGCUGCAUGCGUGUCGUAAAACAGUCUGGGUUUUGUCGCGUCCACGAGUCACUCAGGUCUCGGCUGGUAGCGCUAGAGAAGGAACUCUUACGUGGACUGCAGGCUGAACCCAAGGGCGGCGAGACUGGAGAGGCUGCGACCGACAAAACCAAGCUCCAGGCCCAGCGCAAACCCUUUUGGGGAGCCACAGAGCCCCAGGAGGAGAACAGAGCGGUGCUGCCUCCAGGCCUAAGCUGCCCAUGUUGAGAGGCUGUGCUUCUCCUUCGUGCUGCCGCCUGGAGACUGAUCCCCGGAGCUGCCCACCCUGCCCCUCUCCUUCCCACACCGCCCUGUGGCCAGCCUACUUCCUGCAUUUCCAUUUAACCAAGGAAACCCUUUAAAGAAGAGAGGAUCAGCCUGAUGCCAUGGCAUGAAGUCCUCCCACCCGCAGCUC
ensembl:lncRNA